rnacentral:rRNA from 1 species
CGCUGAGUUUGAUCCUGGCUCAGGAUGAACGCUAGCGGCAGGCUUAACACAUGCAAGUCGAGGGGUAGAAGCAGCUUGCUGCUUUGAGACCGGCGCACGGGUGCGUAACGCGUAUGCAAUCUACCUUUUACAGAGGGAUAGCCCAGAGAAAUUUGGAUUAAUACCUCAUAGUAUGUGAGAAUCGCAUGGUUUUCACAUUAAAGUUCCAACGGUAAAAGAUGAGCAUGCGUCCCAUUAGCUAGAUGGUAAGGUAACGGCUUACCAUGGCAACGAUGGGUAGGGGUCCUGAGAGGGAGAUCCCCACACUGGUACUGAGACACGGGACCAGACUCCGUACGGGGAGGCAGCAGUGAGGAAUAUUGGACAAUGGGCGCAAGCCCUGAUCCAGCCAUGCCGCGUGCAGGAUGACGGUCCUAUGGAUUGUAACUGCUUUUGACAG